rnacentral:lncRNA from 1 species
CGAAGUGGUGUCAAGAAAAGUACCAUUUGGUUGCCAAGCCUAUUGUGACUAACCUCUUAGGACCCAACGUGGUUGGGGACCAACAAGCUCAAACUUGAUCAAUAGGUGAAUGUGGAGGACAUUGGAGACUUGGAUACAUAAUGAAGAAUUAAGGAGAUUGUUAGAGCAUAUAUCUCCAUAUGUGUUUUUUGGUAAUUGAUGCAAUUCCUAUGGACUAAUGGUUCCCUUAAAUUAUAUUUAUAGGAUUUGUCCAUAAGCACUUCUUGAAGUCCAUCUGUUGGGUUUAAGGAGUUUAUAUGAUGACCAAGGUGGUAUUCAAGGUAUUAUCCAAAGAAUGGUCAUAGAGACACAAGGUUGAUCAAGAUCGUCAUACAAAGAGUAAAUCAAGAUGAUCAACACACAAAGCUUACAAGAUGUACCGAGAGGGAUCAAGUGAUCCCAUGGUAUGAUAAGCAUUGUCCAUUACGUAUUUGUGUACUAACCCAUGUUCUUCAUGAGAAUUCUAUAUGGGCUUAGGUGUGUUUCCAUGGGCUUGCGUCAAUAGGAAGAUCUCAUACAACCCAUGGAGGUUGACGUCAAGUAGUGGAGGAUGGUGGCAAUGGAUUCGUGAAGAUAUGCUGAAGAGCGGCUCAUCCAUAGUGUGUAUGGGGGAGCAAUCAACUAAUCUUCAUCAAGCCAACGCAGUCAAGAAAGGUGGUCCAUCUUGAGGAAGCCAAGAUCAUCGUCAUCUAGUUCAAGAGGACGAGGUGCAAGGUAUAGGUUUGCCCUUCAUAGGUUUUCUGUUUUAGGAUAGAUUGUCAUACUGUCAAGGGGGGCUCUCA